rnacentral:rRNA from 1 species
ACUCAAAGGAAUUGACGGGGGCCCGCACAAGCAGCGGAGCGUGUGGUUUAAUUCGAUGAUACACGAAGAACCUUACCAGGGUUUGACAUGCACGUUGUAGUGAAGCGAAAGCAGAACGACCCUUCGGGGAGCGUGCACAGGUGCUGCAUGGCUGUCGUCAGCUCGUGCCGUGAGGUGUUAGGUUAAGUCCUAUAACGAGCGCAGCCCUUACUGCCAGUUACACGUGUCUGGCGGGACUGCCGGUCAUAAGCCGGAGGAAGGUGGGGAUGACGUCAAGUCAGCAUGGCCUUUAUAUCCUGGGCUACACACACGCUACAAUGGGUGGGAACAGAGGGCAGCCAAGCCGCGAGGCGGAGCCAAUCCCAGAAAACCAUCCUCAGUUCGGAUUGCAGGCUGCAACCCGCCUGCAUGAAGUUGGAGUUGCUAGUAAACGCGCGUCAGCCAUAGUGCGUUGAAUACGUUCCCGGGCCUUGUACACACCGCCCGU